rnacentral:rRNA from 1 species
ACACAUGCAAGUCGAACGAAGCAUUUGCGACAGAUUUCUUCGGGAUGAAGUUGCUUAUGACUGAGUGGCGGACGGGUGAGUAACGCGUGGGUAACCUGCCUUGUACUGGGGGAUAGCAGCUGGAAACGGCUGGUAAUACCGCAUAAGCGCACAAUGUUGCAUGACAUGGUGUGAAAAACUCCGGUGGUAUAAGAUGGACCCGCGUCUGAUUAGCUAGUUGGUGAGAUAACAGCCCACCAAGGCGACGAUCAGUAGCCGACCUGAGAGGGUGACCGGCCACAUUGGGACUGAGACACGGCCCAGACUCCUACGGGAGGCAGCAGUGGGGAAUAUUGCACAAUGGAGGAAACUCUGAUGCAGCGACGCCGCGUGAGUGAAGAAGUAAUUCGUUAUGUAAAGCUCUAUCAGCAGGGAAGAUAGUGACGGUACCUGACUAAGAAGCUCCGGCUAAAUACGUGCCAGCAGCCGCGGUAAUACGUAUGGAGCAAGCGUUAUCCGGAUUUACUGGGUGUAAAGGGAGUGUAGGUGGCCAUGCAAGUCAGAAGUGAAAAUCCGGGGCUCAACCCCGGAACUGCUUUUGAAACUGUAAGGCUAGAGUGCAGGAGGGGUGAGUGGAAUUCCUAGUGUAGCGGUGAAAUGCGUAGAUAUUAGGAGGAACACCAGUGGCGAAGGCGGCUCACUGGACUGUAACUGACACUGAGGCUCGAAAGCGUGGGG